CAAGUCCCUUACAGAUAUCUUCUGCUUGUUCUGCAGGAGCACUUCAAAUCAGAUUGAUGGCAGGAUGGACUACACCUUCCAGGAUGGAGAUGCCAUACAACCAGUCAGCUUCCUAAAUGAGCUUCAUCUUCCAACUACUACAACAGUGCUUCCAGGAACAACAACCGGUUUCUCUGUGACUCCUUCAAACCUCAUAUCUGGUUCAGCACUGGUCACAAGCAAGCUGCUGUUCAACUCCUCAUCUCCAGUCCCCAGUGAAGCUCUGGUCCUCAGCGCUAUCAACACUCUCCGUAAUUCCAGAGAGUCACAGCUGAAUGAAUCAGUGAAGGUGGUGAAUGUCACCUAUGAGAAAAUCUCAGACACCUCUUAUGCUGUGGUCUUUACAUUUAAUUUGGUUAACAUCAGCAUGCCAGAGGACCCUGAGCGCAGAAACAAUACAUACCUGCAAGUGGAGGAUGUCGUCAAUAAUGCGCUGAACACUCUUCUGAAUGAACCUGGCAAGCAAGUUUUCAAACCAAAGUCCUCCAACUUCACGAGCACUUCAAAUCAGAUUGAUGGCAGGAUGGACUACACCUUCCAGGAUGGAGAUGCCAUACAACCAGUCAGCUUCCUAAAUGAGAUACGUCUGCCAACUACUACAACAGUGCUUCCAGGAACAACAACCGGUUUCUCUGUGACUCAUUCAAACCUCAUAUCUGGUUCAGCAGUGGUCACAAGCAAGCUGCUGUUCAACUCCUCAUCUCCAGUCCCCAGUGAAGCUCUGGUCCUCAGUGCUAUCAACACUCUCCGUAAUUCCAGAGAGUCACAGCUGAAUGAAUCUGUGAAGGUGGUGAAUGUCACCUAUGAGAAAAUCACGGCAACCUCCUAUGCUGUCAUCUUUAAUUUUCAUUUGAGUAAUAUCAGCAUGUCAAAAGAUCCUAAACUAAGAAAUGGCACUUACCUUCAAGCUCAGGGUGUCGUCAAUAAUGCGCUGAAUAGUCUUCUGAAUGAACCUGGCAGAACAACUUUAAAUCCCAAGUCGACCAACUUCAUAAGCACAUCAAACCAGAUUGAUGGCAGGAUGGAAUACACCUUCCAGGAUAGAGAUGCCAUACAACCAGUCAGCUUCCUAAAUGAGCUUCGUUCACCAACAGUCUUAACAACAGCCAGUACUCUGACAACUACUCCAAAGAUAGUGCUUGGCAGAGCACUUAUAUUCAUUAGCCUUGUGUUUGUCACACGGGGCCCCCUGCCAAAUCCAGAUAAUGUUCUUGCAGUGGCUAACACUCUGCUGAAAACACGUCUCACAGCUAAACAAGACACCACAACACAAGACCUGAGUGAUCCUGUGAGCUUUGUCAAUGUCACAUACACAAAAAUAAACGAGACAGCCUAUGCUCUCAACUUUGGAUUUGAAAUCAGCAAUAUAACCAUGUCUGAGAAACUUGAACUCAGGAAUGGUACCCACCUGUUAAUACAAGACUCCUUAAACACAUUGCUGGCCAAGAUCCUCCUCGAUAACUCCUCAGCUCCUGUCAUUAAGUUCCAAGCAGCUGAUUUCACGGGUAAUUCCACUGUGAUUCAGGCCAAAGUAGAGUAUGUUAUCUCACCAAGUGACAUCACGCAACCCAGCAUAUUUGUUCAGGAACUUCUCCAACUCGCCGAAGAGACCACUCUGACAACAACUUCACCACCAAUCUUGAGUAGGAAGGCAAUUAUUACGAUUCGUCUCGAGUUUAUCACACUGGGCCCAAGACCAAGUGAGAAUAGUGUUCUAGAGGUGGUUAAAUCUAUGCUGGCCGCAAAUCUCACAACUAAACUAACUGCCAGAACAGUAAGCGUGAGUGAUCCUGUGAUCUUGACAAAUGUCAACUAUUUAGGAAUUAAUGACACUGCCUACGCGCUCAUCUUUACAUUUGAAAUCAGCAAAGUAUUACUGACAGAGUUAAAAAGGAAUGAAACCUAUCAAGAAAUCCAAAAUAAGAUAAAUGACUUGGUGAUCCAGAUCCUAAAGGACCCCUCAGUUAAUCUGCUCAUUCCAGCCCAUUUCAAGGAAAAUUCCACUGUGAUUGAGGCCAAUGUUACGUAUGUUUUCUCACAAUAUGCCAGCAACACGGGUGCCGGUUUCUUGGUCAAUACCCUUUUCACAGUUUUUACCACACCAGUUCCAACCACCAUGAGCACUACAAUCUCAAACAACAGUACAAACGCAGCAUGGGUUGUGGCUAUCAUUGUCCCCUGUGCUAUUAUCAUCGGGCUCGUACCUUGCUGGAUUCUCCUUUGUUGUUUGCUGUGUGGUUGCUGUGCAGCAAUCAGGAGACGAUGGCACAGAAGACGGUCAUACAAUGUACAGUACACAACUCGAAACAGCCUCUUCUAGAGAAUUCAGGGAUGACAAAAAAAGGACUGAACACCAAUGAAAACAUAAAAAUCAUGGAUUUUGGAUAUUCAGUGUGCAAUUCAAUGCUGCCUCUUAAGUAUAAAAGUACUAUGUUAAUGCUUAUUUUAUAAAUUAUUGCUAGACAAACAGGUUCUCUAUAAAAUGUUCAUAAAUGUGAUAUUUUAAUUCUCCUAUAGCGUAUAAUAAAACUGUAUUGCUGUUAUUUAUUUGUAUUUAUUGUAAUAUUCUGUUUAUGUUUACAAUUAAUAAGCUUUUGCAAAGCAUUAGUCUGCUUGACACACAGUUUCAUUUAAAGGGACAAAGGUAGAACUUUGGAAUUACAGCUAUUAUUUAUUCACACUCUGUGCACUUUAUAAUGUUAAGCAAAGGUAAAGCAAGCUCAUGAUGUAAAGGAAAUGUAAAGCAAGUUUAGUUGUUGGCAUGAACAAGUUAAACUGCAAAAAAAAUAAAAAAUACUAGAUUAAUAAAGAAUACAGAACAA
ensembl:lncRNA